UCCCUCUCAGGGUCGCACCUGGAGAGUUUUCAGUUCUCUACCAGACUCGGCUAUGGGAAGGAGAGUCAAGCAGAGGUAUAUCCAAUCCAUUCCUAGCUUGGGCAGUGGCUAGUGAGUGGAAGGCAAUCUGCUACAGGU
rnacentral:snoRNA from 2 species